GGUAUUCCCAACCAGUGGAGUAACUGAAGUUGAUAUACUUAAGGUUCGAUGUGUGCAUAUCAUAUUUAGUGAGGCUCUUUCUGAUGUCACUGUGGAACUAUGGGGACCUGACGUGACAUCUGAGCACAUUGAAGCUUCAGCAUUAGUUAUCAGGGGAAAAACAGAAGUUCCAGUAACAACUUCAUCUACAAGUACAACGUCAACAAGUACAACAACAACAAGCACAACAUCAACUGUUACUUCUCCGUCCUCAUCAACAUCAACAACGUCAACAACCACAGCUUCGUACACGAAUGCGUCGACAUCCUCUUCCAGUGCAGUAACGACAACUACAACAAGUACCGAACAAAUUUCGGAAUCGCCCUGCAUUUGUCCUUGUAAUAUUACACAAUUAAAUCUCACGG